rnacentral:rRNA from 1 species
CCUACGGGAGGCUGCAGUGAGGAAUAUUGGUCAAUGGACGAGAGUCUGAACCAGCCAAGUCGCGUGAAGGAUGACUGCCCUAUGGGUUGUAAGCUUCUUUUAUAAAGGAAUAAAACGAGGCACGUGUGCCUUUUUGCAUGUACUUUAUGAAUAAGGAUCGGCUAACUCCGUGCAAGCAGCCGCGGUAAUACGGAGGAUCCGAGCGUUAUCCGGAGUUAUUGGGUGUAAAGGGAGCGUAGAUGGGUUGUUAAGUCAGUUGUGAAAGUUUGCGGCUCAACCGUAAAAUUGCAAUUGAUACUGGCAGUCUUGAGUACAGUUGAGGUAGGCGGAAUUCGUGGUGUAGCGGUGAAAUGCGUAGAUAUCACGAAGAACCCCGAUUGCGAAGGCAGCUUACUAAACUGUGACUGACAUUGAUGCUCGAAAGUGUGGGUAUCAAACAGGAUUAGAGACCCUUGUAGUC